rnacentral:rRNA from 1 species
UACGUAGGGUGCAAGCGUUAAUCGGAAUUACUGGGCGUAAAGCGUGCGCAGGCGGUUUGAUAAGUCAGAUGUGAAAUCCCCGGGCUCAACCUGGGAACUGCAUCUGUGACUGCAUAGCUAGAGUACGGUAGAGGGGGAUGGAAAUUCCGCGUGUAGCAGUGAAAUGCGUAGAUAUGCGGAGGAACACCCGAUGGCGAAGGCAGCCCCCUGGGUCAA